UCAAAGGAGCAAUCCGGAUAAAGAUGGGCUCGCGUCCGAUUAGCUAGUUGGUGAGAUAACAGCCCACCCAGGAGACGAUCGGUAGCCGACCUGAGAGGGUGAUCGGCCACAUUGGAACUGAGAGACGGUCCAGACUCCUACGGGAGGCAGCAGUGGGGAAUAUUGGGCAAUGGGCGAAAGCCUGACCCAGCAACGCCGCGUGAGGGAAGAAGGGUUUCGGCUCGUAAACCUCUGUCCUAUGGGACGAAGGAAGUGACGGUACCAUAGGAGGAAGCCCCGGCUAACUACGUGCCAGCAGCCGCGGUAAUACGUAGGGGGCGAGCGUUGUCCGGAAUGAUUGGGCGUAAAGGGCGCGUAGGCGGCCUGCUAAGUCUGAAGUGAAAGUCCUGCUUUCAAGGUGGGAAGUGCUUUGGAUACUGGUGGGCUGGAGUGCAGGAGAGGAAAGCGGAAUUACCGGUGUAGCGGUGAAAUGCGUAGAGAUCGGUAGGAACACCAGUGGCGAAGGCGGCUUUCUGGACUGAAACUGACGCUGAGGCGCGAAAGCGUGGGGAGCAAAC
rnacentral:rRNA from 1 species